rnacentral:rRNA from 1 species
AGAGUUUGAUCCUGGCUCAGAUUGAACGCUGGCGGCAUGCCUAACACAUGCAAGUCGAACGGUAACGACGGGAGCUUGCUCCCGGGCGACGAGUGGCGGACGGGGGAGUAAUACUUAGGAAUCUGCCCAGUAGUGGGGGACAACUCGAGGAAACUCGAGCUAAUACCGCAUACGCCCUACGGGGGAAAGCGGAGGAUCUUUCGGGACUUCGCGCUAUUGGAUGAGCCUAAGUCGGAUUAGCUUUUUGGGGGGGUAAAGGCCUACCAAGGCAACGAUCUGUAGCUGGUCUGAGAGGACGAUCAGCCACACUGGGACUGAGACACGGCCCAGACUCCUACGGGAGGCAGCAGUGGGGAAUAUUGGACAAUGGGGGCAACCCUGAUCCAGCAAUGCCGCGUGUGUGAAGAAGGCCUGCGGGUUGUAAAGCACUUUCAGUAGAGAAGAAAUGCCCAUGGUUAAUACCCGUGGGUCUUGACGUAACCUACAGAAGAAGCACCGGCUAACUCCGUGCCAGCAGCCGCGGUAAUACGGAGGGGGCGAGCGUUAAUCGGAAUUACUGGGCGUAAAGCGCGCGUAGGCGGUUUGGUCAGUCGGAUGUGAAAGCCCUAGGCUCAACCUGGGAAUGGCAUUCGAUACUGCCUGACUAGAGUAUGGUAGAGGGAAGUGGAAUUUCCGGGGUAGCGGGGAAAUGCGUAGAUAUCGGAAGGAACACCAGUGGCGAAGGCGACUUCCUGGGCCAAUACUGACGCUGAGGGGCGAAAGCGUGGGGAGCAAACAGGAUUAGAUACCCUGGUAGUCCACGCCGUAAACGAUGAGAACUAGAUGUCGG